AUGGCAUUUCCCCGAAUGAACAAUAUAAGCUUCUGACUUCUCCCCCCUUCUUUCCUCCUUCUCCUGGCUUCUUCUGGGGUAGAGGCUGGAGCUGGGACCGGUUGGACUGUAUACCCUCCCCUUGCUAGCAACCUCGCUCACGCUGGAGCAUCCGUCGAUCUGACCAUCUUUUCUCUCCACUUAGCGGGUGUCUCCUCAAUUCUUGGAGCCAUUAACUUUAUCACGACCAUUAUUAACAUAAAACCCGCUACCGUCUCCAUAUAUCAAAUCCCCCUAUUCGUCUGAGCAGUCUUGAUUACAGCCGUUCUUCUUCUACUCUCCCUCCCAGUCCUAGCCGCCGGUAUCACCAUGCUUCUUACAGAUCGUAACCUAAACACAGCAUUCUUCGAUCCUGCCGGAGGGGGAGACCCGAUUCUCUAUCAACAUCUGUUCUGGUUCUUCGGCCACCCGGAGGUGUACAUUCUUAUCCUCCCCGGCUUUGGAAUAAUUUCACAUGUCGUAGCCUACUACUGUGGGAAAAAAGAACCCUUCGGAUACAUGGGCAUAGUCUGAGCUAUAAUAGCUAUUGGCCUCUUAGGAUUUAUCGUAUGGGCCCACCAUAUGUUCACCGUAGGGAUGGACGUUGACACACGCGCCUACUUUACAUCCGCAACUAUGAUUAUUGCCAUCCCAACUGGCGUAAAAGUCUUCAGCUGACUUGCAACAAUCCACGGCGGAAACAUUAAAUGAGACACCCCAAUGCUCUGAGCUCUCGGAUUCAUCUUCCUAUUCACAGUCGGAGGCCUGACUGGUAUUAUCCUGGCCAACUCUUCCCUAGACAUCGUUCUCCACGACACAUACUACGUAGUUGCCCACUUCCACUACGUCCUGUCUAUGGGGGCCGUAUUCGCAAUUGUUGCCGGCUUUGUCCACUGAUUCCCUCUAUUUACAGGUUACACCCUGCACAGCACAUGAACAAAAAUCCACUUCGGAAUCAUAUUCGCAGGGGUAAACUUAACUUUCUUCCCUCAGCACUUCCUAGGACUAGCCGGAAUGCCUCGACGAUACUCAGACUACCCGGAUGCCUACGCCCUAUGAAACACUAUGUCCUCCAUUGGGUCUCUAGUAUCCCUUGUAGCCGUUAUUUUAUUCUUGUUCAUUAUCUGAGAAGCAUUCACUGCCAAACGUGGAGUCUUAGCAGUAGAAUUCACCGCCACAAACAUAGAAUGACUUCACGGCUGUCCUCCCCCCUAUCACACAUUCGAACAACCUGCCUUUGUCCAAGCUCGAAAUAACUAACGAGAAAGGGAGGAAUUGAACCCCCAUAGAUUGGUUUCAAGCCAACCACAUAACCGCUCUGUCACUUCCUUAUAAGACACUAGUAAAACCAUUACGCUGCCUUGUCAAGGCAAAAUUGCAGGUUAGAUUCCUGCGUGUCUUAGACAAACAAUGGCACAUCCUUCACAGCUAGGUUUUCAAGAUGCAGCUUCACCAUUAAUAGAAGAACUCCUCCACUUCCAUGAUCACGCCCUAAUAAUCGUUUUCCUGAUUAGCGCUUUCGUCCUAUACAUUAUUGUAGCCAUAAUCACCUCUAAGCUAACGGACAAACUUAUUCUAGACUCCCAGGAAAUUGAGGUCAUCUGAACCGUCCUCCCGGCAAUUGUGCUGAUUAUGAUUGCCCUCCCAUCCCUCCGAAUCCUUUACCUAAUAGAUGAAAUCAAUGAUCCACAUCUUACAAUUAAAGCAAUGGGCACCAAUGAUACUGAAGCUACGAAUAUACAGACUAUGACGAUCUCGGCUUUGACUCCUACAUGGUCCCAACACAAGAUCUUACUCCCGGCCAGUUUCGGCUCCUAGAGGCAGAUCACCGAAUGGUAAUCCCCGUAGAAUCCCCAAUCCGAGUCCUCAUCUCCGCAGAAGACGUACUUCAUUCUUGAGCCGUACCAUCCCUGGGCGUAAAAGUAGAUGCAAUUCCUGGCCGGCUCAACCAAACAACCUUUAUUGUUAACCGACCAGGCAUCCUCUACGGACAAUGCUCUGAAAUCUGCGGGGCUAACCACAGCUUCAUACCCAUUGUGAUCGAAGCAGUUCCCCUGCCACACUUCGAAAACUGAACAUCGCUAAUAAUGGCAGAAUACACCUCGCUAAGAAGCUAAGUCAGGCAAGCAGCGUUAGCCUUUUAAGCUAAAGAUUGGUGGCGCCUAAUCACCCUUAGCGAAUAUGCCUCAACUAAACCCCGCCCCAUGGCUCGCCAUCCUAACCUUUUCCUGGCUCAUCUUCCUAACAGUAAUUCCUCCUAAAAUUCUAGCCCACUCUUUCCCUAAUGAACCUACCCCCCACAGCACAAAAGCUCCUAAAACUGAUCCCUGAAUGUGACCAUGGCAUUAAGCUUUUUUGACCAAUUUAUAUCUCCAAAUUUUUUAGGAAUUCCGCUGAUUGCUAUGGCCAUUGCCCUCCCAUGGACCCUCUAUCCAACACCAUCAACUCGAUGAUUAAGCAACCGACUACUAACCCUUCAAAACUGAUCAAUCAACCGAUUUACUCAACAGCUUCUUCUGCCUUUAAAUCAAGAGGGGCACACAAAUGAGCCGCCCUAUUGGCCUCCUUAAUAAUUUUCCUGCUAUCACUAAAUAUACUAGGCCUCCUUCCAUACACCUUCACCCCCACCACACAACUAUCUCUCAACCUAGGUCUCGCAGUCCCCCUGUGACUCGCAACAGUAAUUAUUGGAAUGCGAAACCGACCAACCCACGCCCUAGGCCACCUUCUCCCAGAGGGAACCCCCUCCUGCUAAUUCCAAUCCUAAUUAUCAUCGAAACAAUCAGUCUCCUCAUCCGUCCAAUUGCUCUCGGAGUCCGACUAACAGCCAAUCUCACAGCAGGACACUUACUAAUUCAACUCAUCGCCACCGCUUCUUUUGUCCUCCUUCCACUAAUACCAACGGUGGCCGUCCUGACAACUGCCCUACUGUUUUUACUCACCCUCCUUGAAGUGGCCGUUGCUAUAAUUCAAGCUUAUGUCUUCGUCUUACUUCUGAGCCUCUACCUACAAGAAAACGUAUAAUGGCACAUCACUCACACCCCUACCAUAUAGUUGACCCCAGCCCAUGACCCCUAACAGGAGCUAUUGCCGCCUACUAAUAACGUCAGGACUCGCAGUCUGAUUCCACUUCCACUCCACCUCUUUGAUACUACUCGGGACAAUUUUACUUACCCUAACAGUAAUCCAAUGAUGACGAGACAUCGUACGAGAAGGAACAUUUCAAGGCCAUCACACCCCACCAGUCCAAAAAGGCCUCCGAUACGGAAUAAUCCUCUUCAUCACAUCAGAGGUACUAUUUUUCCUAGGCUUUUUCUGAGCAUUCUACCACUCAAGCCUGGCACCCACACCAGAACUAGGAGGCAACUGACCCCCUGCGGGCAUUACCCCCCUAGACCCCUUCGAAGUGCCCCUCCUUAAUACAGCUGUUCUACUUGCCUCAGGGGUCACAGUCACCUGAGCUCACCACGCAAUUAUAGAGGGCAAGCGAAAACAAGCCAUCCACGCCCUAGCCUUAACAAUCCUCCUUGGUGCUUACUUCACCUUCCUCCAAGCCAUGGAGUACAAUGAGGCACCAUUCACAAUUGCAGAUGGGGUCUACGGCUGCACCUUCUUCGUAGCCACUGGCUUCCACGGGCUCCACGUCCUUAUCGGCUCCACAUUUUUAGCUAUUUGCCUUGCUCGCCAAAUCUCACAUCACUUUACAUCAGAACAUCAUUUUGGAUUCGAAGCAGCCGCAUGGUACUGACAUUUUGUAGACGUUGUAUGACUUUUCCUAUACAUUUCAAUUUACUGAUGAGGAUCAUAA